AUUUUCCCCCAUAAAACCAGAGACCAGACCACGGUUUUUACCCAUGUUAUUGCAAGCACCAAGCACAGCCACACUCAGCUGCAGCGCACCACAAACACAACAGCUGCACCAGACCGACCCACUCACAGCAGCAGUGCAGUGCAACAGCUUUCGGAGCUCCGGCAAGUAUUGCAUAGUUGUCUUCUUCUCCGGCACAAACCUCCGACGAAUAAGACACUAUCAAAAAGAUCCCUCUCCUCAAAGAAAAAGGCAAUAAUCAAAGCACAAUAGAAACAUCCACCAUAGCUCCGACAGUUAAGAAGUUUCGCUGGUCCGUCACAUUCCAGUCCCCAAACCAGAACAUGGGACAGUGGAACUUGCUUAGUUCCCAAGUUCUUGCUUGAUAGACACCAUAUCCUCAGAUCUUGGCUCCGCCAUUGCCCAUAGGCUACAACUAGGGGUGUGCAUAAUACCGUCGAAACCGCUAAAACCGCACCGAACCACACCGCCAAGGCAAAUUCGUUAUUAUUUGCCAAUUGAACCGCCGGUUUUUGGUACUAGAGAAGCACUACUGCAAUUUCUGUAGGUAAUUCUUGUUUCCUAAUAUAAAUGCAGCCUGUUAUAAGGCAGAAACAUCAACAGGCUGUGUUGGUGUUCUGUAAUUAGCCUUCUCAAUUUCAAGCACAAGACAAUAUUGCACCUGUGUGUGUGUCAAACAUAGGCUUGGUGAGUAUAGAUAUGUUUUUUGGUCAAAUGGUAAUGGUAGUUUAGUUAUCA